AAGAGCAGCCAGCACUCAGCAAGAGCCGGCAGUGCUGUAGAGGACAGAGGAGGUGAGCUGAUCACAGAAGCAUCCGGCCUGGCUGAAAACCACAGUCCCAAAGCAGAGCAAUGAAGACACUGGCUGGACCUUUGUUCCUGUGCUUGUGGCUGCAGCUGAACUGUGCGAGUAGAGGAGAGCGGGUGGACCAGAGCCCUUCCCACCUGAGUGUCCAGGAGGGAGCCAGCACUGUUAUCACCUGCACCUACACAGACGACAACAGUUAUUACUUCUCCUGGUACAAGCAAGAGCCUGGGGCAGGCCUCCAGUUCUUUACAAAUGUUAUUUCAGGCGUGGACAGAAAAGAGAAACAAGGACUCAUUGUCCUCCUGAAUAAGAAGGAGAAACACCUCUCCCUGAACAUCACAGCUGCCCGUCCUGGGGACUCAGCCACAUACUUCUGUGCAGCCAGUGCACAGUGCCCCCCAGGCACCUGCUGCCUGCACACAAACCUGGGACCACAAAGAUAGACAUUCUACCUCCUUUGAGAUGAAGGUAUCUUUGUAUUGUAUUAACAGUGGGACGUUUUAUAACAUCCCGAAAUUCUGUUUCCAAAAGACACAAUGAGUAUUAGAGUAUUUUUUGGAUUAACUCUAAAUGAAAGUGAAUUCUUAGCUGAGGACGUUCUGUAAUCAAAGUUUGAGAUUCAUUUAGAUCCACUCACUAGCAGAGAAUUCGGCACCCAUCUCGAUGGAAAAGCUCUUCUCGUUUCAUAACUCUUUAUUGUUUCUUGUUAGAAAAUUA